CCUACGGGUGGCAGCAGUGGGGAAUAUUGGGCAAUGGACGCAAGUCUGACCCAGCAACGCCGCGUGAAGGAAGAAGGCUUUCGGGUUGUAAACUUCUUUUAAGGGGGAAGAGCAGAAGACGGUACCCCUUGAAUAAGCCACGGCUAACUACGGGCCAGCAGCCGCGGUAAUACGUAGGUGGCAAGCGUUGUCCGGAUUUACUGGGUGGAAAGGGCGUGCAGCCGGCGAGGCAAGUCAGAGGUGAAAUCCGCGGGCUCAACUCGCGAACUGCAUUUGAAACUGCUUCCCUUGAGUAUCGGAGAGGUCAUCGGAAUUCCUAUUGUAGCGGUGACCUGCGUCGCUCUUAGGAAGAACCCCAGUGGCGAAGGCGGCUUACUGGACGACAACUGACGGUGAGGCGCGAAAGCGUGGGGAGCAAACCGGAUUAGAUACCCCAGUAGUC
rnacentral:rRNA from 1 species